rnacentral:rRNA from 1 species
GUGAGGAAUAUUGGACAAUGGGCGCAAGCCUGAUCCAGCCAUGCCGCGUGCAGGAAGACGCAUCUAUGGUGUGUAAACUGCUUUUGUACGGGAAGAAACACUCCCUCGUGAGGGAGCUUGACGGUACCGUAAGAAUAAGGAUCGGCUAACUCCGUGCCAGCAGCCGCGGUAAUACGGAGGAUCCAAGCGUUAUCCGGAAUCAUUGGGUUUAACGGGUCCGUAGGCGGUUUAAUAAGUCAGUGGUGAAAGCCCAUCGCUCAACGAUGGAACGGCCAUUGAUACUGUUAGACUUGAAUUACAAGGAAGUAACUAGAAUAUGUAGUGUAGCGGUGAAAUGCUUAGAUAUUACAUGGAAUACCAAUUGCGAAGGCAGGUUACUACUUGUGGAUUGACGCUGAUGGACGAAAGCGUGGGGAGCGAACAGGAUUAGAUACCCGAGUAGUCC